AUUGAACGCUGACGGCAUGCCUUACACAUGCAAGCCGAGCGGCAGCGCGGGGGCAACCCUGGCGGCGAGCGGUGAACGGGUGAGUAAUACAUCGGAACGUGUCCAGUAGCGGGGGAUAACCUGUCGAAAGAUAGGCUAAUACCGCAUACGACCUAAGGGUGAAAGCGGGGGACCGCAAGGCCUCGCACUAUUGGAGCGGCCGAUGUCGGAUUAGCUAGUUGGCGGGGUAAAAGCCCACCAAGGCGACGAUCCGUAACUGGUCCGAGAGGACGAUCAGCCACACUGGAACUGAGACACGGCCCAGACUCCUACGGGAGGCAGCAGUGGGGAAUUUUGGACAAUGGGGGCAACCCUGAUCCAGCCAUGCCGCGUGAGUGAAGAAGGCCUUCGGGUUGUACAGCUCUUUCGGCGGGGACGAAACGGUUCGUGACAACACCACGGACUAAUGACAGUACUCGCAGAAGAAGCACCGGCUAACUACGUGCCAGCCGCCGCUGUAA
rnacentral:rRNA from 1 species